GGGGAAUAUUGCACAAUGGGCGCAAGCCUGAUGCAGCAACGCCGCGUGCGGGAUGACGGCCUUCGGGUUGUAAACCGCUUUCAGCAGGGACGAAGCUUUUUGUGACGGUACCUGCAGAAGAAGCACCGGCUAACUACGUGCCAGCAGCCGCGGUGAUACGUAGGGUGCGAGCGUUGUCCGGAUUUAUUGGGCGUAAAGGGCUCGUAGGCGGUUGAUCGCGUCGGAAGUGGAAACUUGAUGCUUAACGUUGAGCGUGCUUUCGAUACGGGUUGACUUGAGGAAGGUAGGGGAGAAUGGAAUUCCUGGUGGAGCGGUGGAAUGCGCAGAUAUCAGGAGGAACACCAGUGGCGAAGGCGGUUCUCUGGACCUUUCCUGACGCUGAGGAGCGAAAGCGUGGGGAGCGAACAGGCUUAGAUACCCUGGUAGUCCACGCUGUAAACGGUGGGUACUAGGUGUGGGGUCCAUUCCACGGAUUCUGUGCCGUAGCUAACGCAUUAAGUACCCCGCCUGGGGAGUACGGCCGCAAGGCUAAAACUCAAAGGAAUUGACGGGGCCCCGCACAAGCGGCGGAGCAUGCGGAUUAAUUCGAUGCAACGCGAAGAACCUUACCUGGGUUUGACAUGGAUCGGAAGCUUCCAGAGAUGGUUGUGCCUCUUUUGGGGUCGGUUCACAGGUGGUGCAUGGCUGUCGUCAGCUCGUGUCGUGAGAUGUUGGGUUAAGUCCCGCAACGAGCGCAACCCUCGUCCACUGUUGCCAGCAAUUCGGUUGGGGACUCAGUGGAGACCGCCGGGGUCAACUCGGAGGAAGGUGGGGAUGACGUCAAGUCAUCAUGCCCCUUAUGUCCAGGGCUUCACGCAUGCUACAAUGGCCGGUACAGUGAGUUGCGACAUCGUAAGGUGGAGCGAAUCUCAAAAAGCCGGUCUCAGUUCGGAUUGGGGUCUGC
rnacentral:rRNA from 1 species